ACUUUGCUGUUCACGUUGCAAGACUUACUUUAAGACGGCGCUGUCCCCCUGUCUGACGGUGAUGUUCUCCUUUAAUACAGAAUCCCCGCUUCUGGCUGGAACUCCUGCAGGUACAAGGAAUAACAAUUUAAGUCCGAGGACGACGAGGCAUUUCCCAGGCACCGCCAAAUAGCCACAAAUUCCCAUGUUGUUGUUGUUGUUUUUUUUCUGUCUCUGCGCAGCGCAACUUCCAAGAAAACUUAAGAUCGUCAGGGUAUAUUCCUUUCCUUUCCUUUUGGUAUUUUUACGUUGUUGGUGUC